UUUUUUAAUGUUCUGGAGAUCAAACCCAGGGCUUUGUGCCUGGGAUGUAAAUUCUAGGCAAAUGCUCUUCUAACUGAGCUACAGGUCCCACUAGAGGAAUCUUCUUAUGAUAGGCAUGGUAAUGGAAAUCAUUUGUAGAGGUGGCUUAAUUUUACAAUUCUGCUCCCAUGUCACUAAUUGUUUUUCAUCUCUUUCUUUCUUUUAGUCUUUAAUCAUUAGACAGUGUGCCUGCUAUUACAGAGUGUGCACUGGCAUUGGCUAUAGAGACAGUAAUCUCAAAUAACUCAGAAACCAGGGAUGAGGAAACAGGCAUGGUUAGUUACAAGAUAGAUGGUAAGAGCUGUGAUAACAACCUGAGUCUGAUUUAAGGGCAGUAUUGGGAGGCGUGUCCACACCAGAUGGUGUGUGUGUGUGUGUGUACGCAUGUGUGCGUGUGUUCAUCUGUCAUCUGUCUCCAUGUGUCUGUCUGUCCAUGUCUAUAACCAAUGUGUGUGGAUGGUUUUGCUAGCAUCAGAUUCCGUGUUUAUUUCUUCUCCCCUGUAUUAUUAUCAGAAAUCAUGAAUUUUCUUCCUUAAAGAGAAGCCUAUGUUCUUCUUAUCUUUUGCUCUUUAGUAGUCCAGGACCAAAUUUUCAUUUUAAGUAGGGUCUACUAGUUAAUUGCUUGCCCCAUAGAAGGAUAAGAAAGUGUAGUAGAGUUAGAAAAGAAAGGUAAGGAUGUAGCUCAUUGGCAUGAACCAGGUGUGAUAGUAGAUACUAGAUACCUAUAGCCCCAACACUCUUGGGAAAUGUAGGCUGGAGGAUCAGAAGUUCAAGGUCAUCUACAGCUAUAUAUUGAUUUCAAUGCCAGCCUGGUCUCCAUGAGAUCUUGUC
rnacentral:lncRNA from 1 species